rnacentral:rRNA from 1 species
AGUGAACGCUGGCGGUAGGCCUAACACAUGCAAGUCGAACGGCAGCACAGUAAUAGCUUGCUCUUACGGGUGGCGAGUGGCGGACGGGUGCGGAAUACAUCGGAAUCUACUUUUUCUUGGGGGAUAAAGUAGGGAAACUUACGCCAAUACCGCAUACGACCUACGGGUGAAAGCAGCGGAUCUUCGGACCUUGCGCGAUUCAAUGAGGCGAUGUCGGAUUAGCUAGUUGGUGGGGUAAAGGCCCACCAAGGCGACGAUCCGUAGCUGGUCUGAGAGGAUGAUCAGCCACACUGGAACUGAGACACGGUCCAGACUCCUACGGGAGGCAGCAGUGGGGAAUAUUGGACAAUGGGCGAAAGCCUGAUCCAGCCAUACCGCGUGGGUGAAGAAGGCCUUCGGGUUGUAAAGCACUUUUGUUGGGAAAGAAAAGCAGCAGGUUAAUACCCCGCUGUUCUGACGUUACCAAAAGAAUAAGCACCGGCUAACUUCGUG